rnacentral:rRNA from 1 species
GACGAACGCUGGCGGCGUGCUUAACACAUGCAAGUCGAACGAUGAAGAAGAGAAACGCGGACUUCGGUUCAAAUUUCACUUCGGAUUAGUGGCAGACGGGUGAGUAACGCGUGAGCAACCUACCUCUUACAAAGGGAUAGCCUCGGGAAACCGUGAUUAAUACCAUAUGACACAUUCAUAAGGCAUCUUAAGAAUGUUAAAGCUACGGCGGUAAGAGAUGGGCUCGCGUCCCAUUAGCUAGUUGGUGAGGUAACGGCCCACCAAGGCGACGAUGGGUAACCGGCCUGAGAGGGUGAACGGUCACAUUGGAACUGAGACACGGUCCAAACUCCUACGGGAGGCAGCAGUGGGGAAUAUUGCACAAUGGAGGGAACUCUGAUGCAGCGACGCCGCGUGAGCGAUGAAGGAAUUCGUUUCGUAAAGCUCUGUUCUAUGGGAAGAAAAGGACUGUACCAUAGGAGAAAGCCCCGGCUAAAUACGUG